CUCAUUCAGUCAAGUUAACUACUAAGGAUUCGGAACCAAGUCGAUGUUAAUCACCAGGUUAAAAAUAUAAUAAUAUUACCGCUCACACGAAUAAAUCGAUACAUAUACAUAUUUACAUACAUGUUUACGUGUGUGUGGUUGCGGUUUGAAACUCCAUUUUUAGCCCUCGGUGAGCUCUUCAAAAAUGCACUAACAAAAUUAAUAUGAAAGUUCAAUUUUAACCAAAUUUAGCCGUGCGUUUAUCACUUCUUAAAUCACGACAAUAAAAACGGUAUAUAACUAUAUUUUUAAAUGUCGGCACUAUACAAGACGAAGCCAAUUACGAUAUUUUGAAAAAAAAAAGUAAAAUUACGAGCAAAUUUAAUUUACGAUAAAUCAAUAAAGAAAGUGGACAUUCAUGACUGAAAAUGUGUU
rnacentral:lncRNA from 1 species